UGUGCUCACUCUCUCUCUCUCUCAAAAUAAAUAUUAAACAAACUUAAAAAAAAAAGACGCUGAAUAUAGCACACAGAUACUCAGAAGGUACGGAAAGAUAAGUCAGAAGCCAAAACUCAGUUACCAUUAUCAUGCAAAGGAACAACAUCAUUCUUGGUAAAAACAAAUGACUUAGCAUGUGACCAAUACUGCUUUUCUUAAGUACUGCAGAGAAAAGGCUGAUAAUCACCCUCUAUCAAGCCCUACAAGUAGGAGACCUAGAAAUGGUUACUGACCAUUGUUAUCUCUCAAGGAGUUGAAGCAAACUGACCUUACACAUUGGAGUUCGUUAGCACUCGCCAACACAGAUUACAAAAUAUAGGGAGGAAUUCUCCUCGGGACAUUAAGCAAUAUUUGCAAAUGUGUGCAGGUAAGUGUUGACUACCUGAUCACUCUGACCAGGAAAUGGUUCUCAGCAACGGUGUGAUCUCUUUUUCAAAGUGGAAAACAUGAAUAUUAUUGUCACCAGCUCAUCGCGGGGAGGCACGGCGGAAGGGACCAGCGAAGACUGCAGCUCCUACGAGAGGAAAUGGAAAUCCAACUGACAACAAAUAUUCGUUGAGCACUACACUGUGCUAGGCACAUGAGAACUAAUACCUCCAUGGCUGAUAAAGCCUUUCAGAAAUGUUGGCAUCAUUACUCCUUGGCUGAGUUACUCCAAGAACCUCUGCAUUCUCAAUCGUUAAAAUGGAAAUACGAAUGCCUACCACAUACGGUUGUUGUAAGGAUUCGGUGUGUAAAAAAAGCGAGACAUGGUGCCGGACACAUAGCAGGUCCUCAGCCAAUGGUCUUGAAAAAUCCAGGAAAACACCUUUACAUGCCUUGGCCCAGAUUUGCCUUCCUGUCCUCUUCAUCUUGACAACUGUCCCCGGCCAGGCGUAACUGACCUGCCGGCCCCAGCCCCUCCGGGUGAGAACUGCCAUCACCCGAAAUCUUCCCUCUGCCCAGCAGGUGCCUCAAAGCUUCUGGGAGUUUAGACCUUAGAGCAAGGCAGUGAGCGGAAGCCUCUUUCUCCCAAGAGAAAACCAGUGAAGGGAGCCUUUGCACGUAAACAUAUAUAUACAUACGAACCUUCGCAGCAACCAGGAUAAAUUUAACGUGCAGAAAAAUACACACACCAGGAUGUCAAGUGCAGCGGGGUGCAGGAUUGUAAGCAUGGUUAUGAUUACAGUAAUGUGAAAACCAAAUAAAAACCGACAAUGC